UGUAGUUCUCAUGUGGCUUUCACCACCUCCUGGCUUAACCCAUUCUUCUCGGAGGCUGUUUGAGGAUGCAUCCUGCCUUUCAUUCGGUUCUGCAGCGGGGACGGUCAUAUCGGAGCCUUCUCGGUGGCACUUGGGCUUGCUCCUGCACACUGACAUGCCACCCCAUGCCAAACUCUCCCUAGGUGUACAUGACGAUGGGAGUGAGCGGAGGUAUGGGGUUGCAUGGCAGGAGCAUCUGGGACUUUCUACAGCUAGUGUUUGCAUCACAGUCGUCAUAGGAGAAGGAGCAGCACCCACCUUUAUCUCGUUCCUCGUUCCUGCUCUGCUGCUGCAUUUGAAGGGAGGACCAAAGCUGAGGAUGCACAUGAUGUUGUGCCCUGUAGCCCUGAUUCCCAGAUGCCCAGGCGAGGGACUGGUCACCUUCAUUCCCUCUGGUACACAUGCCCAAGCUUCUUUCCUGUUAAUAUUAGCUGAUCAAGGCGAGCAAGUUGUGUCACACCUACGUUUGAGCUACAGUGGCGCCAGGAAAAGCAGUGAGAAGCUACCUAAGGCAUGGUCUCUGCACAGUGUCAGACCAACUCACCCAUUUAUUGAGAGAUUCAAUCAAAUGAACAACACGGAGUCAACGCAGACGCUUACUUCAGAUUACCCAUGUUUCCUGCAGGAGAGACUUUUCUCUGACUAAACUAAACUCAUUUAAAGUCAGCCCUCAGAGCCUGGGUAGAAAAGGCCAAGCUUUCCAGGCCUUGGACUUACUGAGAGGGGAUUGGGCAUCAGAGCUUUGAGGUAUUUAUCUGCAAGGUGUAGCUGUCGGGUGCUAAAAAUCACAAGCUUACCUAAAAGUCCUGAAGAAAAAUAUAAAAUUUGAAGGUAUUUUAAUUUGCUUUCUGUGGAUAGGGUUAGUUUUUCUACUUUUCACACAGCCACAAGGAUUAAAAAUAUCUUAUAUACACAAACAAACAAAAAAAAAGAAAUUCUCACAUGAUAACCUGAUUCCAGCAGCUGGGUAUUUAUAAGGGGAUUUAAAACAAAAUAAGCUGAAACAGGAUGAAGAUAUGUUUGGCCCCAUGCUCUCCUGGAAUAAUGCCUCACUCAGUAAAGAUUCCCUUUGACAUCAGUGCAACUGUCUGAAGAGUAAGUGUUAUUUAAAGCAAGAACACACACAACCCCUUGAAAUUUAUCCUGCUAUGUGCAAAAUAAGCUGCGACCACAGUACAGCCAUCCCUUGAACGUCUGAAAAGUCUUAAAAGAUAGCAG
rnacentral:lncRNA from 1 species